GACGAACGCUGGCGGCGUGCUUAACACAUGCAAGUCGAACGGAAAGGCUCCUGCUUGCAGGGGUACUCGAGUGGCGAACGGGUGAGUAACACGUGGGUGAUCUGCCUUGUACUCUGGGAUAAGCUUGGGAAACUGGGUCUAAUACCGGAUAGUAGCCGCCUUUAGUGUGGUGGUUGGAAAGUUUUUUCGGUGCAAGAUGAGCUCGCGGCCUAUCAGCUUGUUGGUGGGGUAAUGGCCUACCAAGGCGUCGACGGGUAGCCGGCCUGAGAGGGUGUACGGCCACAUUGGGACUGAGAUACGGCCCAGACUCCUACGGGAGGCAGCAGUGGGGAAUAUUGCACAAUGGGCGGAAGCCUGAUGCAGCGACGCCGCGUGGGGGAUGACGGCCUUCGGGUUGUAAACUCCUUUCGACAGGGACGAAGCUUUUUGUGACGGUACCUGUAUAAGAAGCACCGGCUAACUACGUGCCAGCAGCCGCGGUAAUACGUAGGGUGCGAGCGUUGUCCGGAAUUACUGGGCGUAAAGAGCUCGUAGGUGGUUUGUCGCGUCGUCUGUGAAAUUCCGGGGCUUAACUCCGGGCGUGCAGGCGAUACGGGCAUAACUUGAGUGCUGUAGGGGAGACUGGAAUUCCUGGUGUAGCGGUGAAAUGCGCAGAUAUCAGGAGGAACACCGAUGGCGAAGGCAGGUCUCUGGGCAGUAACUGACGCUGAGGAGCGAAAGCAUGGGUAGCGAACAGGAUUAGAUACCCUGGUAGUCCAUGCCGUAAACGGUGGGCGCUAGGUGUAGGGGGCUUCCACGUCUUCUGUGCCGUAGCUAACGCAUUAAGCGCCCCGCCUGGGGAGUACGGCCGCAAGGCUAAAACUCAAAGGAAUUGACGGGGGCCCGCACAAGCGGCGGAGCAUGUGGAUUAAUUCGAUGCAACGCGAAGAACCUUACCUGGGCUUGACAUACACCAGAUCGCUGCAGAGAUGUAGUUUCCCUUGUGGUUGGUGUACAGGUGGUGCAUGGUUGUCGUCAGCUCGUGUCGUGAGAUGUUGGGUUAAGUCCCGCAACGAGCGCAACCCUUGUCUUAUGUUGCCAGCAUUUUAGUUGGGGACUCAUGAGAGACUGCCGGGGUUAACUCGGAGGAAGGUGGGGAUGACGUCAAAUCAUCAUGCCCCUUAUGUCCAGGGCUUCACACAUGCUACAAUGGUCGGUACAACGCGCGGCGACACUGUGAGGUGGAGCGAAUCGCUGAAAGCCGGCCUUAGUUCGGAUUGGGGUCUGCAACUCGACCCCAUGAAGUCGGAGUCGCUAGUAAUCGCAGAUCAGCAAUGCUGCGGUGAAUACGUUCCCGG
rnacentral:rRNA from 1 species